rnacentral:rRNA from 1 species
GAUGAACGCUGGCGGCGUGCCUAAUACAUGCAAGUCGAGCGAACGGAUGAGAAGCUUGCUCCUCUGAUGUUAGCGGCGGACGGGUGAGUAACACGUGGAUAACCUACCUAUAAGACUGGGAUAACUUCGGGAAACCGGAGCUAAUACCGGAUAAUAUUUUGAACCGCAUGGUUCUAAAGUGAAAGACGGUCUUGCUGUCACUUAUAGAUGGAUCCGCGCUGCAUUAGCUAGUUGGUAAGGUAACGGCUUACCAAGGCAACGAUGCAUAGCCGACCUGAGAGGGUGAUCGGCCACACUGGAACUGAGACACGGUCCAGACUCCUACGGGAGGCAGCAGUAGGGAAUCUUCCGCAAUGGGCGAAAGCCUGACGGAGCAACGCCGCGUGAGUGAUGAAGGUCUUCGGAUCGUAAAACUCUGUUAUUAGGGAAGAACAAAUGUGUAAGUAACUGUGCACAUCUUGACGGUACCUAAUCAGAAAGCCACGGCUAACUACGUG